rnacentral:rRNA from 1 species
GAUGAACGCUGGCGGCGUGCCUAAUACAUGCAAGUCGAACGAGGUGCUUGAGUAGCAAUACGAGAGUAUCCUAGUGGCGAACGGGUGAGUAACGCGUUGGUGACCUACCCCAAAGUGUGGGAUAACAGUCCGAAAGGAUUGCUAAUACCGCAUGUGGUCUUCGGGUUUAGAAACCGAUGACGAAAGCAGCAAUGCGCUUUGGGAGGGACCUGCGUCCCAUCAGCAGUUGGUGAGGUAACGGCUCACCAAGGCGACGACGGGUAGGGACCUGAGAGGGUCGACCCCCACAAUGGAACUGAAACACGGUCCAUACACCUACGGGUGGCAGCAGUAGGGAAUAUUGCACAAUGGGCGAAAGCCUGAUGCAGCAACGCCGCGUGCAUGAU